AUACGUCUUCGGGGCGGGGUGAAAUUCCCCACCGGCGGUAAGACCGGCAACGGUCAAGCCCGCGAGCGCCUGCGCAAGCAGGGUCAGCAGAUCUGGUGCGAAGCCAGAGCCGACGGUAUAGUCCGGAUGAAAGAAGAUGUGC
rnacentral:ncRNA from 2 species